GAUGAACGCUGGCGGCGUGCCUAAUACAUGCAAGUCGAGCGAACAGACGAGGAUCUUGCUCCUCUGACGUUAGCGGCGGACGGGUGAGUAACACGUGGAUAACCUACCUAUAAGACUGGGAUAACUUCGGGAAACCGGAGCUAAUACCGGAUAAUAUAUUGAACCGCGUGGUUCAAUAGUGAAAGACGGUUUUGCUGUCACUUAUAGAUGGUUCCGCGCUGCAUUAGCUAGUUGGGAGGGUAACGGCUUACCAAGGCAAGGAUGCGUAGCCGACCUGAGAGGGUGAUAGGCCACCCUGGAAGGGAGACACGGUCAAGACUCCUACGAGAGGCAGCAGUAGGGAAUCUUCCGCAAUAGGCGAAAGCAUGACGGAGCAACGCCACGUGAGUGAUGAAGGUCUUCGGAUCGUAAAACUCUGUUAUUAGUGAAGAACAAAUGUGUAAGUAACUAUGCACGUCUUGACGGUAACUAAUAAGAAAGCAACGGCUAACUACGUG
rnacentral:rRNA from 1 species